AUUUAUAGAUCUCUUCUACAUUAGUUGUUCUUAAUGCCUAUUGCUUUCUGAUCAACUGGAAUUUGAGCCCAGACAUUUCCGCACCCAAAAAGUGUUCGAUGAAAUGUCUGAACCACUAAUUC
rnacentral:sRNA from 1 species